rnacentral:rRNA from 1 species
CACCUCUAGCAUUACCAGUAUUAGAGGCACUGCCUGCCCAGUGACAUUAGUUAAACGGCCGCGGUAUCCUGACCGUGCAAAGGUAGCAUAAUCAUUUGUUCCUUAAUUAGGGACUUGUAUGAAUGGCCUCACGAGGGUUUAACUGUCUCUUACUUUUAAUCAGUGAAAUUGACCUUCCCGUGAAGAGGCGGGAAUACAAAAAUAAGACGAGAAGACCCUAUGGAGCUUAAAUCAAUAUGUUCAACAGAAUUUAAUUUCAGUCCAAUAGGAAUAAAGAUAUUCUAACUGAACAAUAAAUUUUGGUUGGGGUGACCUCGGAGUAUAACAUAACCUCCGAGCAAUUAAACCAAGACUUACCAGUCAAGGUUAUAUAACUUAUUGAUCCAAUCUUAUUGAUCAACGAAACAAGUUACCCUAGGGAUAACAGCGCAAUCCUAUUUAAGAGUUCAUAUCGACAAUAGGGUUUACGACCUCGAUGUUGGAUCAGGACACCCAAAUGGUGCAGCAGCUAUUAAAGGUUCGUUUGUUCAACG